rnacentral:rRNA from 1 species
CAAUAGCGUAUAUUAAAGUUGUUGCAGUUAAAAAGCUCGUAGUUGAAUUUCGGGUCCCCCGCUCGGCGCUUCAUUGUGCCGUCGUGGUGUCCCUCCUCGCCGUAAGGCGUCCUUUACUGUGAAAAAAUUAGAGUGUUCAAAGCAGGCAAUCGCUUGAAUACAUUAGCAUGGAAUAAUAAGAUAGGAUCUUGUCUAUUUUGUUGGUUGCGGACAACGAUAAUGAUUAAUAGGGAUAGUUGGGGGUGUCCGUAUUGAGCUGUCAGAGGUGAAAUUCUUGGAUUUGCUCAAGACGAACUACUGCGAAANCANNNACCAAGGAUGUUUUCAUNAA